rnacentral:rRNA from 1 species
UGAAGAUUUUCGGAUCGUAAACUCCUGUCGAAUGGGACGAACGGAUCAUGGGUUAAUAACCUGUGGUCGUGACGGUACCGUUAAAGGAAACCCCGGCUAACUCCGUGC